GAGGAUGCUGCCAGCGGAAAAUGGCUGCUGCAACCUCAAGCCUAUCCUGAUACACCGAAACGACAUCAAGGUGGAGAGAGAGAGAGAGAGGGCGAGAGAGGGAGGAAGAGAGAAAGAAAGAUUAGGAAAAUGAGAGCAGAUAGAGGGAGAAUGUGAGUGAGUCUGAGUGUUUCCUGAAAGGAGGAUAAAAAGAGAGAGAGAGAGAGAGAGAGAGAGGAGACCCUGGGGUGGGCUGCUGCAAGCGGCGGGCAACACCGAGCCAUGGAGGGCGAUGUGCGUGUUCGUGCGGUGGUGAUGACACGUGACGACUCCAGUGGCGGUUGGGUGCCCCUUGGAGGUGGCGGCCUCAGUCACGUGGUCAUAUGUAAGGGGCGGAGUCACGACGGCAGGGGGCGGAGAGAGUACGUCAUCCGUGGAGAGCGGCUGCGAGACCGAGCACCGGUGUUGGAGUGUGCAGUGCAAAGAGGGUUAGUGUACAACAAGGUGAACCCCAUCUUCCAUCACUGGCGAGUAGAAGAUCGAAAGUUUGGUCUUACAUUCCAGAGUCCUGCCGAUGCCAUCUCCUUUGAGAAAGGGCUUCAGACUGUCAUAGACAAGCUCGACAGAGGCUCUGACUCACCCUCGUCGUCCACGCCAGAAGAGGCCGACACCGAGGACGAUGGACAAGCUUCCCAUACAGGUAGUGAGUCGUCGUCCAACAGCAGAAAGGAGAUGCUUCCCAAACCCAUCACCAUAGUGACGAGCGAGUCGUCGUCCACCUGCUUCGUGCGGCCAGAAGAGUUUAGUUUCGGAUCCAGCCAUGCUGUCACCAUGCAGACGCCUGCUCAGAUCCACACCAGGUCGGGACAGCACCAGCUCUCUCAAAUGACGACCGUGUUGAAUCCCCCGGCCCCUCCGCCCCCGCCUCCUGCCCCACCUACCCCUCCGGUGGGUCCCCCGGCCUCGUCCCCUUUGUCCCCCCUCUCACCCACUAUUUCGCUGCUGGAGGAGGGAGACCUGCGCAGUGUGGACCCUUGCAAAGACCUGUGGGGUUCUCGAGGUUACGAGGACUACAGGCGGGCGGGUGCCACGAGGACUAUGGUUGGGGGCCUGACGGGCGGCGUGGUGGUCGGCGGCGGAGGGAGCCUGCAGGACAAGUCGGAGCUGUGCGUGGUUCGCUUUGAGAAGGAGCUGGCGGGGGUGGGGACGGCGGGCUGCGACGUGACCGUAAGCCUGGACAGCAAAGCCUCCCAGCGCCUGUCCUCGUCGUCGCCCACCUGCAUGUCGAUGCCCAAUGCUGUGUCAGGCGUGUCCUCAGGUGCUGGUUCACCCCAGGAGACGGGCAAAGGCUCACCUUCUCCCUGCUGCAUCCAUGCCUCACUGGCCACGCCCCGCUCGCGGACUCGUAAGAGAGGAGGAGGGGCCAGCAGCAGUGGCGAUCCGGGGGUGAUCUCCCCCGACGACGACAGCCCCUGCCCUCAGGCCUCCUCGUCGUGCUCCUCCCGCUGCGUUUACUGCCGCUCGGUUUUCAGCGCUUCGGAGAACGGGCGGGGCCGCUGCAGAGACGCCCCCGACCCGGCCCUGCACUGCCUCCGCCAGUGGACCUGUGUGUGGUGCGCAGAGAGUCUGCUCUACCACUGCAUGUCGGACUCUGAGGGCGAGUUCUGGGAGCCUUGUUCAUGCGAUGACUCGAUGGGGGGCCACCCGCACCCCCUCUGCUGUGCCCGCUGGUUGGCCCUCCUGGCCCUGUCACUCUUCGUGCCCUGCAUGUGCUGCUACCUGCCUUUGCGCGCCUGCCUGCGAUGUGGGGAAAGGUGUGGCUGCUGUGGGGGAAAGCACAAGGCGGUCCGAUGAGGCCAGGCUAGGGGCGGGAGGGAGGGGGGCUCCCUGGACCGAAGGGGGUUCUGGCCGUCGAGAGGAGGGAGCAUCUGUAGGGAUGCAGGAGGUGGCCUUUGAAGACCCAGACCUCCGACGUGGCCCUCCAAAGCCCCACAGCCUUCCACUGCAUUCAGCUCUUUCUCUUUUAAACCUGGGGCCUUCCUCACUGGUCCAUGCCUGCUGAAGGUGCUCAGCACUCAGACCAGGCUCUGUGGGAGUCAUCUGGAGCCUUCAUAGUGGAUUUACUGAGGGUGGCCUGCAGGAAGCUUCGUGAUGCAUUCGCUCCAGUGGAGUCAGCGGCAUGUACAAGCCACAGUUGGGACACGUCCAGAAACUGACUUACGGCCAGGCAGUUGUAGGUGAAGAAGCUGGUGACAUGCAGGCCUCCUUUGAUGGGGUCCGGUUUGGCCUCUGCUCCUGGAAAUAGGAGGCUCAGAUCUGGAGCUUCAGUGUGAGACGACUCAGACUGAGGACCGACGUAGAGGUUCUGGGCCUGGAAAGCUGCAAGUCGCCGCAGACUGUAGGUGACCUGAGAGGGAAGGUAAGAGGUAAACAGAAAAAACUACACACACACAUACAUACAUACACACACACACACACACACACACACACACACACACAUAUAUAUAAUGUGUGUGUGUGUAUGUAUUUUUUUCCUUUCAAGAUUUUAGACUUGAUUUGCCUUCGAAUCUUGCUUUGUAAUUUAAAACAGCAACAUAACCUGCAGAAGAUUAAUUUUUUGAUGUUGUUCUUCUUGCUUACGUGUUUACUGGGCAUUUAUUUUGUCUAUAUUUUCACAUCCUCACCUGCAACAAAUGUUUGGCAGUCACUAUUAUUGUGCAAAAUGGAGUUGAAUUUCACUGUUAGCAUCUAGCAUCAGUACCUCAGUGUAGAGCAGGAAGCGGACCAGGCCUUCGCUCAGCUUCUCCAUGACCCUGCGGGACACCCCCUGGGCUGAGCUCUGCCCCAGCUGGGCCAGCAGGAGGCGCUCCCACUCGGCCCUGAGGCUCAGAGCCGUGGACAGAACCUUCAGCGCCUCCUCCGCCUCCCUCAGCUCCACCUCCAGCCAGCCGUCCACCACCAGCCGUGUGCAGUCAGCGUUGGUGUCCACGGAGUUCGCCACCAGCAGCAGAGCCUGACCCUGUGGGCAGAAACAGAGACGAGGAGGAGGGAGAGACGGAUGAGAUGUGCAGUAGGAAGAGUGAAAGGAAGAAGGACAAGAGGAACAAAGAAUAAACCAAAAAGAUUUGAUCAGCGGAGCAGCAGGGAGAGGAACAGGUAUUUCUGCAAAUUAAAUCUGACACAAAUAUCCAAAAAAGCAGGACCUGCCAAUUGAAUUGUGAACUUCCCUUCAACUCAGUGCCUGGAAACACCACCAUCAUCAUCAACCCCAAGCAGGCCAAAGACAACUUUCCUCGGUGUCUGAUCCUGAGGAGAACUCUCCGUCCUGGCCCUCGUCCAGCCUCAGGACUUUACGUUUGCUCCCCUCCUGCUGCUCGUGAUCUCUCUUCAGCUGAUGCAGCUUUCUCCUCUCGGUCAGCCUCUCCCUGCGCUGCCCUCGGUCUCCACCAGAGGGAGCGCCGUCCUCUGACUCCAGCAGGCCGUGGCUCUUCAGCAAAUCCUAUCAACCCGAGAGGAAUCUCAGCAUGAGAAACAGUGUUCACUGAUUAUAAAACUUUGUGUUAACUGCUCUUCCAGGUGCUUGCCUUGAACUGUCUGCGUAGGUUGACCAUCUCAUAGAGUCGCUGCUCCUCCAGGCCUCUCCUCCUGCACCACUUCCUGGAACCCCCGCCUCUUUCUCCCUUCACCUGUUGAGCCAAAAAUCAACAGUUUUGUAUCCAAUGAAGACCACCUUUAGAAUGCCACAAUGUCAGUGAUGUCUCUCUUCCUGACCUCCACCCAGGCGUUGAAGGUGUUGAGCAGGGUGAAGGGGUCUCCCUGGUUGCUGUGCAGGGGCUGGCGGGCCGUGGCACAGUCUGGGUUUUGUUGUGAGCUGCGAAGGAAAGGCGACUGAACGCUGAGGGCUGCUGCUACUGUCAACACCGGCUCCACCAGGUUGAACAAAGAGCCCAGAACCAGCAUCUUCCCUGAAUGAACACAAACACACACACUUAACCUAAACCUAGCUGCUGGGUAAACACAAGAGCAUCAGGAUGUCACUGGCAAAAUACUGGGAAACUUUGUAAAAUUACAUGUAGUGAAAGAGAUUUGAUGCUGCCUUGUUGUUUUAUGCAACUUAAAGUAUAAUAAAUGGGGGGAUAAAUUCUAAGUAGCAAACAAUAACAAAACCGCAGCAUGAGUUUGAUUUAGGGAAUCUUACCUAUGACCACAUCGACAGGCAGCUGUGCCAACAAACUACCAAUAGAGGUCAGAUCACCACGACUGUCUAGCGCCCCCUGGUCUUUUAGAUAUACAACAGCAGUCUGGAUACUAGCAGUCGGAGGAGGAUCAAUAAAGACAAAAGACAGCGGAUCUCCAAGACCCAUGCUCUUCAUCUGCAGGAACAAGAGGCAUAAAUAAAGUUAGGAUCUCACUAUGUGGAAGUCCAAAGAAAAUUAAAAGACAAACUGCGGCAUGUUACCACCUGGAGAAUGAGGGAGUCCAGAGCCACUCUGUGGAUUUCAGGGACAGGAUAAGGUGCGAAGGCGUCGUAGUCUGACUCGGCGUAGAGGCGGUAACACACUCCUGGACCUGUGCGACCGGCUCGACCUUUCCUCUGCUCGGAGCUGGCUCGGCUGAUCCAGAACUCCUGCAGACGUUGCAUCUUGGCCUUCGGAUCAAAACUCAUUUCCUUCACCUUUCCUAUAAAAGAAACAAAUAGCAAAACAAUUCAUGUUUAUGGUUGUUGGUCUACUAUUACAGAAUCCUUAUUUGAACGUUUAAGAUCAUAUCAAGGUUUAAAAUAAAGAUUUAUAAUAUUAAACACAGCUUGGCUGCACAAAUUUAAGUUUGCAAACGAUGAACUUUUAAGGGGUUAAUCCACAGCUAAAAAUGUUCUUCUAGUUUCAUACCUGAGUCAACAACAAAGCGCACUCCAUCUAUUGUAACUGAAGUCUCAGCAAUAUUGGUAGAGAUGAUGCACUUUCUCACCCCAGGAGGAGCAAUGUCAAACACCUGAAGAACAACGUGAUAACAGAGAAUUAGAACUAAUAAAUCACAACAACGUGUCAGAUUUGAAUAUUACAAUCUAAUCCAAUCAAAGCUGUCUGUGCCUUAUCCUGCUGGACAAGCGAGAGGGUGCUGUGCAGCGGUAAAACUAUCCAGCGACGUGUGUGGGUGGCGUAGAUCUGACAGGCCUCCUGAAUAGUAGAGAUUUCGGCCACACCGCUGAGGAAGAGGAGCAGGUCGCCACGUUCCUCUGGGGGGUAACGCUGGUCGAUGCCCUGCAGGAUGCGCAGGUACGGCCUGGGAUCCAGUUUCUCUGAACGGGAGGACUGCUCCUCAGGUGGAAUCGGCUGGUAAAUCACCUUAAUACAGGGAAAAGAGAAAUAAGUUAGAGACAGAUUUUAAAAGAAAAUAACUUCCAAACACUCAAAAAACAUUAAAAACUGCAUUUCUGGAUUGUAUUUUGCUGAAUUUAUGUUUUUCAGAAUUGGAAACCUACCACUUUGCUGCCAAGAAAAUAUUAAACAAACAUUUUUAUUAAUGAGAAACAGGAAUUUAACACCAAAAAGUCUCUCAACCUCAAAUAUUUGACACUAAUUGGUAUUUUUUUUAUCCUUUGUGUAUACAUAAAAAGUCACCAUCUGACCAGUAUUUGUGGCUCAGUUAUUGUUUUGACACUUUCAGUACAUAUGUCUUUUGGCAUGCAUACCUCCAAAAACAAAAUCAUCUUUCUUCUAGUGACAUGACCAUUUAUAUCUUGAUUACUGUUGCCCUCUGCUCACCUGAAUAGGAAACAAUCUGCCUGGAACCUGCAGCACAGGAGCGCUGCUGAAAUAGUCGGAGAAGAGUUUGAUGUUGAUGGUGGCUGACAUGAGGAUGAGACGCAGGUCCGGGCGGUCGGCCAGCAGCGAGCGCAGGACGCCCAGGAGGAAGUCACAGUGGAGGUGUCUCUCGUGAACCUCGUCCACAAUCACCACCUGGUACUGAGCCAGCGUCCUGUCCUGCUGGAUCUGUCUGAGCAGCAACCCCUCGGUCAAGAACAGCAGUUUGGUGGCUGUAGUCCGAGUGGUCUCAAAGCGGAUCUGGUACCCCACCUGGAAAUGAAGACGACAAUUUGUGAGCUCUGAGCCUUUUUCUUCCAGUUCAAUUCCCUGGUUUUAGCUCUUAUAUAUUACUAGAGAGAAGGAAAUGUGUUCACAUUUGAGACAAUGAGAAACAUCUGUGCUGCUACUAAAUGUUUAACAUGUAUUUUUCAUUUGGAAUUCACUGAAAACGAAGGCCAUUAAAAUCUUCUACGGUGUGAUGUGCUGGGACAGCAUUGUGAAAGCAGCCGAUGCUAACAGACUUAACAAGCCCAUCAGGAACGCUGGUUUGGUCUUGAGAAUUGAGCUGGAGUGUUUGGUGGAUGCUGAGAAAACUACUCAGAAUUAAGGACACCUUAUUUCAUCUCUUACAGCUAUACUGACGUCACAUCAGAGCAGCUCCAGCUGUAGACUAAGACCACCGAGGUGCAGCACAGAAUGCCACAGAUGUGCUGGUUGAAGGUCUGGUUGGUGCUUCAACAUCUCAAAGUGAUAUACAGGCGAUCCUCCGAGGCUGAGUGCAGGCGAUCUGGUUGAACCCAGCUGACAGAAGAUACUGAGGAACCUGGGUGGAUUUCCCACAGCCCGUGUCUCCAGCCACGACCACCACCGGGUGCCGCCUCACCAGCUCCGCGAUCCGGUCGUGGUACUGGAAGAUGGGCAGGUUCUUCUGCUCCCGGCGCAGCUUGGCCAGUUUACCGAAACUCUGUCUCUGGCUGAAGUCCAGGAAGUGCAGCAGAGCCAGGCGGCAGUCUGAGACCUGCUGGGACCCCGGUCCGGAGGAUCUCUGCCGGCUCCGGUGCUCUGACUUCCCCAAACGAUCCUCGAUGUCUCUGCUGCACACGGACACGUUGAUCCGGUAGCGAGCAUCGUAGUCUUUAGGGAGGCCAAGAUCCACCUUUGCAGAACCGGACCUGCCUCGGUCUUCUCUGUCCUCUCCUCGGCUGGCUCCAGGACCAGCCAUGUCCCUCUUGGUUUUGAACCUCUGGAAGCGGUCGAAGAAAGCCCAGAACUCCUUGUGCUCCGGGCUGCCGGCCUGGAUGUAGUCCUGCUCACGGAAAAAGAUCUCGUCCAGCUGGGCUCGGCACUGCGGACUGUCCCAGUCCCAGCUCCGGCCGUCUCUCCUCCGGUCCGAGUCCAUAUUUACCUCCUCAAACACCAAACUGGAGUCAAGUUAAUUCACUGCAAAUAAAUAAAAUCAACAUGUAGACGACUUUACACAUGUAGCAGCUCAGCACGCCUGUUAGAUUUACACUGAAUAACCUAUCGAGCAGCUUAAAGGUCCAUUAUAAACCCCGACAUUUUGCAAAUUAUGUUUAAAAUAGACAAAAUUGAAGUUUAGAAUAUCGUUGAAAAACUACUACAGCUGCACACCAGUACGUCGCGACUGUAAGAAAAGAGAAAUUGCGAAUAAAACCGAACAAAUUCACUGCAGCUGCUGUAAAGACAGGGGGAACAAUAAUACGGCGGGACCGCUUCCGUUCCGUCCUUAGAAAUCCUCCGGUACUGAUUUGUAUUUGUGCGGGGGUGGAACAAUCUGCGCUCAUUUUUAAAUGUUCGUUGAAUCAAUUGCAGUUUGUUUGUUUGUUUGUUUGUUUAUUCACACUUUUUUGGCCACUUGCUUUUACAUUUAUGCAGGCAUAGCUGCCAUAGAGGUCCAUGUACGGAUCUGGUAAUUGGAUUUUCCGUUCUGAAACGGGUAUUGAAAAACAAAAACGAGUGGUUAUUUGAUUUUCGUUUUAAAAUACAAAAAUUAAAAUUGAAAUACAAGGCGUUUUUCCUUUUCAUGAUCAAAAAGGGAUAUACGAAAUUUUAAAAAUGCUUUGAUUUUCAUUUUAUAUUUAGAAUAACAAAAAAAUUAAAUCAGUAAGAGACAGAAACGAAAAAAGGUCCAUUUUUUUAUUUUCUGAGACCGGAAAUGGUCAUCAGCAAGUGUGGAGCCAAACGACAGCAAGACACUCAGAGGGCGGAGCCAGAGAGCAGCGAUUGGUCAGACCGUAGAUGUAUACAGAAGACAGUGCGCUAGCGUAUCUAGUCUAUGUAUCUAUGGUCGGCACUGGUAGCAUCUGUGGCUGCCGUUGACCUUGUUUUUGGAGUAAAAUACGGUGGAAGCUGAAUUAGUGAGGAUGACUCCUGCUCCUGUCAUCUCUAAACUCCUCACACAUCUUUACCUGCACAUGAGGAAAAUCACUCCUGUAGAAUGCAGUGGUUCAUCAGAACCUCUGGGGAUGUCCUGUGGAUUCUGUGGAUCCUGUGGGUUGCAGGGUGGGUCCUACCUAGACCAGGCUGAUCCUGGACCAUCCCACAGAUGCUCCAUCAGAUCUGGAUAUGGGGAGUGUGGAACCCAGAUGUUCAGAAGGAGAUGAUGCCACAUCUGGUCCAGACGAUGGAAGGUCUUGAAGUUCUCUGACUGGCCUCGACUGAAGAUGGUCGUCUCACUGGAUUUAAGGUUCAGAUGCUCAGUAACAAACUCCACCAAUGAGCCAACAGGGAAGCUUUAGGUUUAUUAAAUGUUGCUAUGAAGGUUUCACUGUUUUUCUUUGUGAAUGCAAUGUGCUCCAACUGAAACUUGAAUUAGAACUUAGAAGUAAAUCCUUCCAUCUGAAAGGAUUUAGUUGCAUUAAUAACCUCAUAACAUUCUAAUUUUUAUUCCAGUCUUGGUUGAAAAUAGAAUCUCUGUAUUGAUUCAGGUAAAAACUGAACUUCACAGCAUGUUGCAGCAAAACAACCAGAUGAAAACUGUGAUGGUGUUGGAUUGUCAGACCGUAAUGUUGCAGCUCAAAGCAGCUUUUCUAGCUCAGUUCAUUCUGACAUUCAGCUAUGAAUCAACACAGCAGAUGGUGAUCCAUGCUGUGGAAGUCUCACAUCUCCUGAUUUAAUGGAGCUGCUUUGCACUUUUUACACUGUUUAUUCACCAACACUUUAUUUAAUAAAAGUCCCAUCUAGUUUUCAUGAGGAA